AUUGAACGCUGGCGGCAGGCCUAACACAUGCAAGUCGAACGAGUGGCGGACGGGUUAGUAAUGUCUGGGAAACUGCCCGAUGGAGGGGGAUAACCACUGGAAACGGUAGCUAAUACCGCAUACCAUCGGACGUUCCCAGAUGGGAUUAGCUAGUAGGUGGGGUAACGGCUCACCUCGGGGACGAUCCCUAGCUGGUCUGGGAGGAUGACCAGCCAGACUGGGCCUGGGACACGGUCCAGACGCCUACGGGAGGCAGCGGGGGGGAAUCUUGCACAAUGGGGGAAACCGUGAGGCAGCAACGCCGCGGGCGGGAUGACGGCCUUCGGGUUGUAAACCGCUUUCAGCCAUGACGCGGUAGUGGCAGAAGAAGCACCGGCUAACUACGUGCCAGCAGCCGCGGUAAUAC
rnacentral:rRNA from 1 species